rnacentral:lncRNA from 1 species
ACAGGCCCCACAGUGUCCGGCUUCCAGCUCUUUUGCAGUCUAAGAAACAACUUGCUCUGCACAGAUCUCUUAAAGCCUACCGGGAACAUGUCUUACAAAGGCCUGUGAAACGCAGUUUCUUCCCAGGCCUGAUCUCGCUGAAGUAGAAGUUCAGCUCUGCCGUGUCCUACAUGGGCCUAGAGCUCAAAGGGAGAAAGUCCAGCCUUGUGUCCUCAAGGGCAGAGAGGCCCCACAGCGUCCGGCUUCCAGCUCUUUGGGCAGCUGAGAAACAGCUUGCUCUGCACUGCUGUUUUACAGCCUAACGGGAACAUGUCUUACAAAGGCCUGUGAAACGCAGUUUUUUCCCAGGCCUGAUCUCGCUGAAGUAGAACUUCUGCUCUGCCGUGUCCUACAUGGGCCUAGAGCUGAAAGGGACAAAGUCCUCUGUUGUGUCUUCAAGGGCAGACAGGUCCCACAGCGUCCGGCUUCCAGCUCUUUGGCAGUCUAAGAAACAGCUCGCUCUGCACAGGGCUCUUAAAGCCUACCGGGAACAUGUCUUACAAAGGCCUGUGAGACGCAGUUUCGAACCAGGCCUGAUCUCGCUGAAGUAAAACUUCUGCUCUGCCGUGUCCUACAUGGGCCUAGAGCUAUAAGGGACAAAGUCCUGUCUUGUGUCCUCAAGGGCAGACAGGCCCCACAGCGUCCGGCUUCCAGCUCUUUUGCAGUCUAAGAAACAACUCGCUCUGCACAGGGCUCUUAAAGCCUACCGGGAACAUGUCUUACAAAGGCCUGUGAGACGCAGUUUCUUCCCAGGCCUGAUCUCGCUGAAGUAGAACUUCUGCUCUGCCGUGUCCUAUUUGACCCUAGAGCUGCAAUUCACAAAGUCCUGCCUUGUUUCCACAAGGGGAGGCAAGUCCCUCAGCGUCCGGCUUCCAGCUCUUUGGGCAGCUAAGAAACAACUCGCUCUGCACAGGGCUCCUACAAGCCUACCAGGAACAUGUUGAGAAAGGCCUGCGAAACGCAGUUUCUUCCCAGGCCUGAUCUCGCUGAAGCAGAAGUUCAGCUCUGCCGUGUCCUACAUGGGCCUAGAGCUCAAAGGGAGAAAGUCCAGCCUUCUGUCCUCAAGGGCAGAGAGGCCCCACAGCGUCCGGCUUCCAGCUCUUUGGGCAGCUGGGAAACAGCUUGCUCUGCACUGCUGUUUUACAGCCUACCGGGAACAUGUCUUACAAAGGCCUGUGAAACGCAGUUUCUUCCCAGACCUGAUCUCGCUGAAGUAGAACUUCUGCAAUGCCGUGUCCUGCAUGGGCCUAGAGCUGAAAGGGACAAAGUUCUUCCUUUUGUCCUCAAGGGCAGACAGGUCCCACAGCGUCCGGCUUCCAGCUCUUUGGGAAGCUAAGAAACAGCUCACUCUGCACAGGGCUUUUACAAGCCUACCGGGAGCAUGUCUUACAAAGGCCUAUGAAACGCAGUUUCAUCUCAGGCCUGCUCUCGCUGAAGUAGAACUUCUGCUCUGCCGUGUCCUACAUGGGCCUAGAGCUAAAAGGGACAAAGUCCUGUCUUGUGUCCUCAAGGGCAGAGAGGCCCCAAAGCGUCAGGCUUCCAGCUCUUUUGCAGUCUAAGAAACAACUCGCUCUGCACAGGGCUCUUAAAGCCUACCGGGAACAUGUCUUACAAAGGCCUGUGAGACGCAGUUUCUUCCCAGGCCUGAUCUCGCUGAAGUAGAACUUCUGCUCUGCCGUGUCCUAGAUGGGCCUGGAGCUGAAAGGGACAAAGUCCUCUGUUGUGUCUUCAAGGGCAGACAGGCCCCACAGCGUCCGGCUUCCAGCUCUUUUGCAGUCUAAGAAACAACUCGCUCUGCACAGGGCUCUUAAAGCCUACCGGGAACGUGUCUUACAAAGGCCUGUGAGACGCAAUUUCUUCCCAGGCCUGAUCUCACUGAAGUAGAACUUCUGCUCUGCCGUGUCCUACAUGGCCCAAGAGCUGCAAGGCAGAAAGUCCUGCCUUGUUUCCACAAUGGGGGACAAGUCCCUCAGCGUGCCGGUUCCAGCUCUCUGGGCAGCUAAGAAACAACUCGCUCUCCGCAGUGCUCUUACAGCCUACCGGGAACAUCUCUUACAAAGGGCUGUGAAAUGCAGUUUCUU